UUUUCAUUGUGAAAUAUCCCUGCACUCCAUUGAUAAGUGCUAUUUGUUCUAUUUUCACAUGUUAUAUUAUAUACACAAUAAUAAAAUAUUAGAUUAUCCAGUGUCCCUUUUCUAAUAGCAUUUGGGUUCCUGGACUUUAUGAAACCAUUGCUACUGUCUCAUGGAACCACUCCUUGGGCAUAAUCACUUGGUUUUAAGCCCUAACAUGGCUUGCACCACAACUGUGUAGUGCAUUAUUGUAUCUGAAAUGCUUAACACAGCUCUAGUCACAUAAUAGUUGCUUAAUGAAUACCUGUCUAGAAAAAUGAACUGACACACUAAUGAUGGUUUUGUUUCUUGUCCUUUUUUUCUUGUUCUCUUGCCAUAAUACAUCUUUCUUUGCCUUUUCAGAUGGAUGUUAUAUUUGGUAGAAAAGAAAAAAAGAAGAGGAGGAUAAAAACAUAUUACAGACAAGCAAUGAGAACCCAGUUGAGGGGUGGCGAUAAACAGGGUCUUCCUAAAAAAUAUAUGGAACAUUUUAAGUCUUACUAGGAUCUUCUGUAGCAAAAAC
rnacentral:lncRNA from 13 species